GAUGAUGAGCUUCUUAAUAUCUUUUUUAUUAUUCCAAUUUUUAAAAUUUGUCAUGUUCACAUUUUAUGAGUGAAUAAAAAUGAACAGUACUUUUUCUUCUCUAGUAAGCUGUUAUCUGAUUGUAAGUUAUUUAAGGAAUCCUGGCUCAGAGUGAUAUUCCUCCCCAGACUGAGGGUCUAAUCCAGGAGAAUGUUUCUCUAGUAAACGGAGGAAACCUGGACAGGGGUCUGCGGCUAUGACCUACCACCAGGUGUCCCUCCUUAAGGAAUCCCUUGCAAGUGAAUCCUGGUCUCAGCAUGUGCUUCUGGGGAACCAGACCUAAAACCCUCUCCACUCACAUGCUGGUCCCAUG
rnacentral:lncRNA from 1 species